rnacentral:rRNA from 1 species
AGUGAACGCUGGCGGUAGGCCUAACACAUGCAAGUCGAACGGCAGCACAGUAAGAGCCUGCUCUUACGGGUGGCGAGUGGCGGACGGGUGAGGCAUACAUCGGAAUCUACUUUUUCGUGGGGGAUAACGUAGGGAAACUUACGCUAAUACCGCAUACGACCUACGGGUGAAAGCAGGGGAUCUUCGGACCUUGCGCGAUUGAAUGAGCCGAUGUCGGAUUAGCUAGUUGGCGGGGUAAAGGCCCACCAAGGCGACGAUCCGUAGCUGGUCUGAGAGGAUGAUCAGCCACACUGGAACUGAGACACGGUCCAGACUCCUACGGGAGGCAGCAGUGGGGAAUAUUGGACAAUGGGCGCAAGCCUGAUCCAGCCAUACCGCGUGGGUGAAGAAGGCCUUCGGGUUGUAAAGCCCUUUUGUUGGGAAAGAAAAGCAGCAGGUUAAUACCCCGCUGUUCUGACGGUACCCAAAGAAUAAGCACCGGCUAACUUCGUG